rnacentral:rRNA from 1 species
GAUCCUGGCUCAGGAUGAACGCUGGCGGCGUGCUUAACACAUGCAAGUCGAACGGAACUACUUUGAUGAGAUUCUUCGGAAAGGAUUUGAUUUAGUUUAGUGGCGGACGGGUGAGUAACGCGUGGGUAACCUGCCUCAUACAGGGGGAUAACAGUUGGAAACGGCUGUUAAUACCGCAUAAGCGCACAGUACCGCAUGGUAUGGUGUGAAAAACUCCGGUGGUAUGAGAUGGACCCGCGUCUGAUUAG